ACUCAACGUUACACUUUUGAAAAGGGUGAGUUCAAGUUGCUAAAGCGGGCCGUCUUCGAACGGAUACUUGACCAGCUUAUUAGCCCUAAACUUGUUUUUAUGGAGUUU
rnacentral:sRNA from 1 species